CUGAAACAACAACGAGUGAGGAGUGAGUAAUCUAGCAUUACUCAGUGAGUUACAAUCCCCAACUAACAAAUACAACCCCUCGCUAUCCCACCCCAAACAAACUAAAGUGAGAGGUUCACCUAAUAACACAAUUCAAUAACAUAAGUAAUAUCAGAAAUACGCAGCGGUAAACGAUAGCAAGUUAACUAGCAUUAUGCUAAUUACUAGCUCAUCACCAAACUCAAACUCGACUUAAACCAGGGUUUAACAACCAAAAACACGAUAUAAUAUAUAUAAUAAACUCGGGCCCUGGUGACUUUAGGUUCCUCCUUCACUAUCGGCAAUAUCCUAUCUUCCUACCACAAAGGCCAGAAGAAGGAAAUUUCAACCGACCGCGGCCCACUGUCCUUCGGGUCACCGCGCGACAGCCCACAGUCCUUCGGGUCACUGCCACAUUACACCGUCGUGUAAUCACUCAGCCAUAGGCCAUGACCCCAUCUAUCUGAGUCUUCCCGAUCCAGCGAAUAAGGGGUUUUCUUGAGCCCGCCGGGUACGAGGUCUGAAGGAACACUAACUCACGGGUUACACAAAUGUUGUCGGCCAAUAUAUGAUUAAUACUAAACCCGGUAAAAAUAACACAA
rnacentral:lncRNA from 1 species